rnacentral:rRNA from 1 species
AUACGUUCCCGGGCCUUGUACACACCGCCCGUCACACCAUGGGAAUUGGUUCUACCCGAAGCCGGUGCGCUAACCGUAAGGAAGCAGCCGACCACGGUAGGGUCAGUGACUGGGGUGAAGUCGUAACAAGGUAGCCGUAGGGGAACCUGCGGCUGGAUCACCUCCUUUCUAAGG